rnacentral:rRNA from 1 species
AUGGCAAUAGUCCAUACCUACGGGAAGCCUGACAUCUUCUUGACCAUGACCUGCAACCCUAACUGGGAAGAGAUAACGAAUGAGUUGUUUCCUGGUCAGACAGCGCAAGACCGACCUGGUCUUGUGGCUCGUGUGUUCCAUGGCAAGCUAGAGGCUAUGAAAGAGAUGUUGUUCAAGAAGAAUAUCCUCGGUGUUGUUGUCGCACAUGUAUACGUAGUCGAGUUCCAGAAGAGGGGCCUC